GACUAACCGUACGAACGUUAUUCGGAAUCACUGGGCUUAAAGGGUGCGUAGGCUGCGCAGCAAGUUGGGUGUGAAAUCCCUCGGCUUAACCGAGGAACUGCGCCCAAAACUGCUGUGCUCGAGGGAGAUAGAGGUGAGCGGAACUUAGGGUGGAGCGGUGAAAUGCGUUGAUAUCCUAAGGAACACCGGUGGCGAAAGCGGCUCACUGGAUCUCUUCUGACGCUGAGGCACGAAAGCUAGGGUAGCGAACGGG
rnacentral:rRNA from 1 species